UACGAAGGGGGGCUAGCGUUGUUCGGAAUUACUGGGCGUAAAGCGCGCGCAGGCGGCUAUCCAAGUCAGUGGUGAAAGCCCGGAGCUCAACUCCGGAACUGCCAUUGAAACUGUUUAGCUUGAGGACGAGAGAGGUGAGUGGAAUUCCCAGUGUAGAGGUGAAAUUCGUAGAUAUUGGGAAGAACACCGGUGGCGAAGGCGGCUCACUGGCUCGUAUCUGACGCUCAGGCGCGAUAGCGUGGGGAUCAAACAGG
rnacentral:rRNA from 1 species